GGUGUUUACUGUCGAACUGAACACUCUACCGUUUACUGUCUGGUGGUGCUCUUCACCGAGUGCCACCAGUGGUCGGUACGUUUACUUUGAAAAAAUUAGAGUGCUCAAAGCGGUUUUUACACGACCGAAUACUGUUGCAUGGAAUAAUGAAAUAGGACUUUGGUUCUAUUUUGUUGGUCUUCGGAACCAAGGUAAUGAUUAAGAGGGACAGACGGGGGCAUUAGUAUUGCGACGCUAGAGGUGAAAUUCUUGGACCGUCGCAAGACUAACUAAAGCGAAAGCAUUUGCCAAGAAUGUUUUCAUUAAUCAAGAACGAAAGUUAGAGGUUCGAAGGCGAUCAGAUACCGCCCUAGUUCUAACCAUAAACGAUGCCAACCAGCAAUCAGCCUGUGUUCUCUUGAUGACACGGCUGGCGGCUUCCGGGAAACCAAAGUCUUUCGGUUCCAGGGGAAGUAUGGUUGCAAAGCUGAAACUUAAAGGAAUUGACGGAAGGGCACCACCAGGAGUGGAGCCUGCGGCUUAAUUUGACUCAACACGGGGAAACUCACCCGGCCCGGACACUGUGAGGAUUGACAGGUUGAAGCCCUUUCUUGAUUCAGUGGGUGGUGGUGCAUGGCCGUUCUUAGUUGGUGGAGUGAUUUGUCUGGUUAAUUCCGAUAACGAACGAGACUCUAGCCUACUAAUUAGACCGUGGCGUCCUCGUGCCGCCACGGCGCUUCCUAGAGGGACAGACGG
rnacentral:rRNA from 1 species